rnacentral:rRNA from 1 species
UACGUAGGGUGCGAGCGUUAAUCGGAAUUACUGGGCGUAAAGCGUGCGCAGGCGGUUUUGUAAGCCAGAUGUGAAAUCCCCGGGCUUAACCUGGGAAUGGCAUUUGGGACUGCAAGGCUGGAGUGCGGCAGAGGAGACUGGAAUUCCUGGUGUAGCAGUGAAAUGCGUAGAUAUCAGGAGGAACACCGAUGGCGAAGGCAGGUCUCUGGGCUGACACUGACGCUCAUGCCCGAAAGCGUGGGGAGCAAACAGG